UCCUUCAUUGUCCUGGUGCACCAAUACCCAUGAAGGUCUGUGUAACACUGAUGGGGCCAUACCUAGUAACUCCUUCCCAUUACUGAUGUUCUUCUGUACCAAAUUAUCCUGCAAACGAGGAACAGCAGACAAUGCAAAGCUAACACCAUCCCUGGAUAGAGCAGGAUACUCCUCCACUUUGUCUCUCUGAUACUGCAACCUGGAGACAAGUCACUUCUCUAAUGAGGCUGUGCAAACAUCGUGUGUUCCUACGUGGAAAGAAGUGGAGAAAGCCAGGAGCAACAGCACACACAGGUAAUCCAGUGACACUGAGCCUGUGAGUGCAAUGGGACUUUUACCCCUGGGAUCACUAUUGCAUAAACACAACUGCCAACAUCUAAGGGAUAACUGCCCUGACUGUCAAGGAAACAACACUGAAAUGAGUGAUUUGGAGGAAUUCCACAUUUGUUCUGAGCUAUUAAUUUGUCUGCACAAUGGCAAAGCUAGAAAGUCUAGGGGCCAAGAACAGAAACCAAAACCACUCUCCAAAAAUGCUGCGUGAUUUUCCAGCUAAGCUAAUGACAGAUCUGAAGAAGUGUCAACACUGCAACCAAAAAAGCUUGAAGCAGCAGGAAUGUCGUUCACAGGGGAGACUGGAGUCAUAGCAAAUACACUUUUCAAGGUUGCUUACUCCUGACUAAUAG